AUUGAACGCUGGCGGCAGGCUUAACACAUGCAAGUCGAGCGGUAACAUUUCUAGCUUGCUAGAAGAUGACGAGCGGCGGACGGGUGAGUAAUACUUAGGAAUCUACCUAGUAGUGGGGGAUAGCACGGGGAAACUCGUAUUAAUACCGCAUACGACCUACGGGAGAAAGGGGGCAACUUGUUGCUCUCGCUAUUAGAUGAGCCUAAGUCGGAUUAGCUAGAUGGUGGGGUAAAGGCCUACCAUGGCUACGAUCUGUAGCUGGUCUGAGAGGAUGAUCAGCCACACCGGAACUGAGACACGGUCCGGACUCCUACGGGAGGCAGCAGUGGGGAAUAUUGGACAAUGGGGGAAACCCUGAUCCAGCCAUGCCGCGUGUGUGAAGAAGGCCUUUUGGUUGUAAAGCACUUUAAGCAGUGAAGAAGACUCCGUGGUUAAUACCCAUGGACGAUGACAUUAGCUGCAGAAUAAGCACCGGCUAACUCUGUGCCAG
rnacentral:rRNA from 1 species